CGGGACGUAGUAUAGUGGUAGUACGUAUGCAUGGGGUGCAUAUAGUGGGAGUUCGAUUCUCCCCGUCCCGACCA
rnacentral:tRNA from 1 species